rnacentral:rRNA from 1 species
UACAGAGGUCUCAAGCGUUGUUCGGAUUCAUUGGGCGUAAAGGGUGCGUAGGUGGCGCUGUAAGUCGGGUGUGAAAUUUCGGAGCUUAACUCCGAAACUGCAUUCGAUACUGCGGUGCUUGAGGACUGGAGAGGAGACUGGAAUUCAUGGUGUAGCAGUGAAAUGCGUAGAGAUCAUGAGGAAGACCAGUGGCGAAGGCGGGUCUCUGGGCAGUUCCUGACACUGAGGCACGAAGGCCAGGGGAGCAAACGGG